CGGAGGAUGCGAGCGUUAUCCGGAUUUAUUGGGUUUAAAGGGUGCGCAGGCGGCGUGUCAAGCAAGCGGUAAAAUAGCGGGGCUCAACCCCGUCGAGCCGUUUGAACUGGCGCGCUUGAGUUCAGGCGAGGUAGGCGGAAUUCGUGGUGUAGCGGUGAAAUGCAUAGAUAUCACGAAGAACUCCGAUUGCGAAGGCAGCUUACCAGUCUGCGACUGACGCUCAGGCACGAAAGUGUGGGUAUCGAA
rnacentral:rRNA from 1 species